AGUGAACGCUGGCGGCAGGCCUAACACAUGCAAGUCGAACGGCAGCACAGUAAGAGCUUGCUCUUACGGGUGGCGGGUGGCGGACGGGUGAGGUAUGCAUCGGAAUCUACUUUUUCGUGGGGGCUAACGUAGGGAGACUUACGCUAAUACCGCAUACCACCUACGGGUGAGAGCAGGGGAUCUUCGGACCUUUCGCGAUUGAAUGAGCCGAUGUCGGAUUAGCUAGUUGGCGGGGUAAAGGCCCACCAAGGCGACGAUCAGUAGCUGGUCUGAGAGGAUGAUCAGCCACACUGGAACUGAGACACGGUCCAGACUCCUACGGGAGGCAGCAGUGGGGAAUUUUGGACAAAGGGCGCAAGCCUGAUCCAGCCAUACCGCGUGGGUGAAGAAGGCCUUCGGGUUGUAAAGCCCUUUUGUUGGGAAAGAAAAGCAGCAGGUUAAUACGCCGCUGUUCUGACGGUACCGAAAGAAUAAGCACCGGCUAACUACGUG
rnacentral:rRNA from 1 species